rnacentral:lncRNA from 1 species
GGAGUGCAGUGGCACGAUCUCGGCUCACUGCAACCUUCGCCUCCUAGGUUCAAAUGAUUCUCCUGCUUCAGCCUCCCGAGUAGCUGGGCCUACAGGUGCAUGCCACCAUGCCAGACUAAUUUUAUGUAUUUUUAGUAGAGACGGGGUUUCACCAUGUUAGCCAGGAUGGUCUCGAUCUCCUGACCUCGUGAUCCGCCCGCCUUGGCCUCUCAAAGUGUUGGGAUUACAGGCGUGAGCUACUGCGCCCGACCUCCUUCUUUACUCUUAAUUCUCAUAACAACUCUUUGUAUUUAUCUUAUGCAUAUUAUAUUCUGCCUUGCACUGUUGUAUACUUUUCUUACUAUACUGUAAGCACCUUGAGAACACAGAUAAAUUCAUAUGCAUAUUUUCUCUUUUUCCUUCCUCUAGAAACCUUUAUAAGAAGUACUGCAUCUUGAAUGUAAUUGGUGCUCAACAAUAUGCAUACAAGGCAGGAGUAAAAGAAUGAAAAAAUAAAUUCCUGUUAGAAAAGCUUUUGUUCUGGAUAUCACUGUUUGCCCUCCAAGUUCCAUCACAUUGCUCCGAACCAUGAGAAGCAGACCUCUGUGGAAUCCAUCAACCAGCCAUGCCCCUUGGCCUCCAGCUGGUGUGGCCAAUGGGAAGCACCACAAGAAAUAUGAAGAUAAGAAAAAAAGUGUAGAGGUAUUUAUUUUUCCUUCUCCAUCUGAGCCAAGUCAUGAGUUGGCCCAACUGUAUUCUUCCCCAGAAGGCCACAGGUAUCUGGUAUCUGGCUCCGUUUCUUUGCUCCUUCAAGCCAUGGGUGAUAACUUUGGAUGUUUCACUGUCUGUUUUCCUUAACUCUGUCCUGUUAUUAAACUCUCUGAAAUAACCCCUUUUGAAUAUGCCAUCUAUGACUCAUACACAACUGAUGACCCAUAAAGGACAUUGGAAAUGAAUUGCUUCACAUAAGAGGUCAUUCUGAUAAUGCAAACAGGACACAGCAUCUUAGAGGACUGUUUAUAUAAUUGUGAUUUGAUUUUACCUUUAUUCUCAGGUCAGAAGACAGCCUACUGUGACACGUAAGUGUCUACUCUGAUUUGCAUAGAAGUUUAAAAUAAGCAUCUUAAUGAUUUGAGAACAUUCACUAAUUGCUAACACUAUUAAUAUAUUUCCUUGUUUUAUAGCCCAAGAGCCAUUUAUAUAUUAUCUCAUCUUAAAACAUUCCAUCAGUUAUUUUUCUGCUUACACAUAGAAUUUCUAAAUCAAAGAUCUGAAACACCAAUUUUCACACCAUUCUCCAAGGGAC